AUACUUGCCUGAGGUCGGGGACACCGGGAUCAUGCAAGCGGUUCCCCCAGGACGAGGAUACUCCAUUGCUUGUACUGCGGAGUGGUUGACCCUUGCGAUUAUUUAAUUUUUAUCAAUAAAAAAAUCAUAAUAAAAAAUGUAUACCCGAAUAACUAUUUUCUUUAUA